rnacentral:lncRNA from 1 species
CAGGUGUUGGGAGAAGUGACGCAAGACCCUGGAAGAAGGCCAACGUAUAAAACCCCAAGUCAAAAGGUCAAGCUGUGCAUUUGUCUUUCAAGUUUUCUGCUUUGCUGUCUUCCAAGUGCACCUUCCUUUCAUUCCUGCUGUAAAACUUGCCUCAGUCUUUCCUGCCUGAUACCCCUCAAGCAAAUGCCUCCUUCUUCUGAGGAGGCAAGAAUUGAGGUUGCUGCAGACCUGAUAUGGAUUUUCCACCGCUAACAUAUUUUGGUGCUGUGUGACUCAGAUAAGGAAAUUGAGGCUCAGUGUUGGCAGGUAACAUGUUCAAGAUCUUGAAACUAGCAGGUGGCAGAGCUGGGGUUCAUCUGUCUCCAUGUGCUCAGAGAUAAAGAGAAGAGAAUCUUCUCUCAAGAAUUCCUGUGCCCACAGGGAAAGGUUCAUAGUUCAUCUCAUCCUCAGACUAAGAUGUCCAAAAUAAUGCUGAA